rnacentral:tRNA from 6 species
CGGGAUGUAGCGCAGCUUGGUAGCGCAUCCGCUUUGGGAGCGGAGGGUCGCAGGUUCAAAUCCUGUCAUCCCGAC